rnacentral:rRNA from 1 species
UGGGGGAUAUUGCACAAUGGGCGAAAGCCUGAUGCAGCGACGCCGCGUGGGGGAUGAAGGCCUUCGGGUUGUAAACUUCUUUUGCUCUGAACAAGGCAUGCCUUUGGGGUGUGUUGAGUGUAGGGGUUGAUUAGCGCCGGCUAACUACGUGCCAGCAGCCGCGGUAAUACGUAGGGCGCGAGCGUUGUCCGGAAUUAUUGGGCGUAAAGGGCUUGUAGGUGGCUGGUUGCGUCUGUCGUGAAAGCUCAUGGCUUAACUGUGGGUUUGCGGUGGGUACGGGCUGGCUUGAGUGCAGUAGGGGAGGCUGGAAUUCCUGGUGUAGAGGUGGAAUGCGCAGAUAUCAGGAGGAAUACCGGUGGCGAAGGCGGGUCUCUGGGCUGUUACUGACGCUGAGGAGCGAAAGCGUGGGGAGCGAACAGG